rfam:Triticum aestivum genome assembly, contig: Triticum_aestivum_CS42_TGACv1_scaffold_471344_6AL
UAGCUACUCCCUCCGUUCCGAAUUACUUGUCUUAGAUUUGUCUAGAUACGGAUGCAUCUAAACUCAGUAUCUAGACAAAUCUAAGACAAGUAAUUCGGAAUGGAGGGAGUAGGAA